UACGAAGGGGGCUAGCGUUGCUCGGAAUCACUGGGCGUAAAGCGCACGUAGGCGGAUUGUUAAGUCAGGGGUGAAAUCCUGGAGCUCAACUCCAGAACUGCCUUCGAUACUGGAGAGCUUGAGUCCGGGAGAGGUGAGUGGAACUGCGAGUGUAGAGGUGAAAUUCGUAGAUAUUCGCAAGAACACCAGUGGCGAAGGCGGCUCACUGGCCCGGUACUGACGCUGAGGUGCGAAAGCGUGGGGAGCAAACAGG
rnacentral:rRNA from 1 species